rnacentral:rRNA from 1 species
AUUGAACGCUGGCGGCAUGCCUUACACAUGCAAGUCGAACGGCAGCACGGGAGCAAUCCUGGUGGCGAGUGGCGAACGGGUGAGUAAAGUAUCGGAACGUGCCCAGUCGUGGGGGAUAACGUAGCGAAAGUUACGCUAACACCGCAUACGAUCUAUGGAUGAAAGCGGGGGAUCGCAAGCCCUCGCGCGAUUGGAGCGGCCGAUAUCAGAUUAGGUAGUUGGUGGGGUAAAGGCCCACCAAGCCGACGAUCUGUAGCUGGGCUGAGAGGACGACCAGCCACACUGGGACUGAGACACGGCCCAGACUCCUACGGGAGGCAGCAGUGGGGAAUUUUGGACAAUGGGCGAAAGCCUGAUCCAGCCAUGCCGCGUGCAGGAUGAAGGCCUUCGGGUUGUAAACUGCUUUUGUACGGAACGAAAAGGACUGCCCUAAUACGGUGGUCCCAUGACGGUACCGUAAGAAUAAGCACCGGCUAACUACGUGCCAGCAGCCGCCGUAA